CACAAGAAUACACUUUAUUUGUACAGGAGAGGCAUCUGAGGACUUCGAUAGUCCUGACUUUUUCCCGUCUGUCUUCUCCUACUCAAUCCAGCCCAACAAAGGCGAUGCAAAACAUGAGAGAUAUAAGAGAAAAAGAAGAAGGGAUGAAACCCCCCACAGAUGGCCAGACAAUGGACAUCAGUCCACAGAAGUAGUUGAUGAGUCUGCAUCAGAAUCCACACGCUUCCCUCCCCCCAAAUGAUUGCGGAAUAGAGCCUGGUGCUGGUCCUUGCACUGGUCCUGAAGGCUCUCCAUGAUGACCUCAGACAGAAGUACAGCCAACUUUCUACCGAAUGUGACAACCUGCAUGUGGACAUCAACAAACUCAAAGCCGAGAAUGAACAACUAAAAGCAACAUUCAGGAACACACAGUUUUCCUUUAGCUCUAUCAAAUGCAAUGCAGCACAGGUUCUGUUUUUCACAGGUCUGACCAGUGUCUUUUUUGAGCGGUUGCUCCAAACAGUUAAAGACAGUGUAGAGGUUGUGCGUUGCUC